rnacentral:rRNA from 1 species
UCAGGUAACACUGAAUGGAGGACCGAACCGACUUACGUUGAAAAGUGAGCGGAUGAACUGAGGGUAGCGGAGAAAUUCCAAUCGAACCUGGAGAUAGCUGGUUCUCUCCGAAAUAGCUUUAGGGCUAGCCUCAAGUGAUGAUUAUUGGAGGUAGAGCACUGUUUGGACGAGGGGCCCCUCUCGGGUUACCGAAUUCAGACAAACUCCGAAUGCCAAUUAAUUUAACUUGGGAGUCAGAACAUGGGUGAUAAGGUCCGUGUUCGAAAGGGAAACAGCCCAGACCACCAGCUAAGGUCCCAAAAUAUAUGUUAAGUGGAAAAGGAUGUGGCGUUGCCCAGACAACUAGGAUGUUGGCUUAGAAGCAGCCAUCAUUUAAAGAGUGCGUAAUAGCUCACUAGUCGAGUGACACUGCGCCGAAAAUGUACCGGGGCUAAACAUAUUACCGAAGCUGUGGAUUGUCCUUUGGACAAUGGUAGGAGAGCGUUCUAAGGGCGUUGAAGCAUGAUCGUAAGGACAUGUGGAGCGCUUAGAAGUGAGAAUGCCGGUGUGAGUAGCGAAAGACGGGUGAGAAUCCCGUCCACCGAUUGACUAAGGUUUCCAGAGGAAGGCUCGUCCGCUCUGGGUUAGUCGGG